rnacentral:rRNA from 1 species
CACGUAGGGCGCAAGCGUUUGUCCGGAUUUAUUGGGCGUAAAGAGCUCGUAGGCGGUUCCGUAAGUCAGAUGUGAAAACUCAGGGCUCAACCCGGAGACGCCAUCUGAUACUGCGGUGACUGGAGUCUGGUAGGGGAACACGGAAUUCCUGGUGUAGCGGUGAAAUGCGCAGAUAUCAGGAGGAACACCGAUGGCGAAGGCAGUGUUCUGGGCCAGUACUGACGCUGAGGAGCGAAAGCGUGGGGAGCAAACAGG